UACGUAGGGUGCGAGCGUUGUCCGGAAUUAUUGGGCGUAAAGAGCUUGUAGGCGGUUUGUCGCGUCUGCUGUGAAAAUCUAGGGCUUAACCCUGGACGUGCAGUGGGUACGGGCAGACUAGAGUGUGGUAGGGGAGACUGGAAUUCCUGGUGUAGCGGUGGAAUGCGCAGAUAUCAGGAGGAACACCGAUGGCGAAGGAAGGUCUCUGGGCCAUUACUGACGCUGAGAAGCGAAAGCAUGGGGAGCGAACAGG
rnacentral:rRNA from 1 species